UACAGAGGUCUCAAGCGUUGUUCGGAUUCAUUGGGCGUAAAGGGUGCGUAGGCGGCGCGGUAAGUCGGGUGUGAAAUCUCGGGGCUUAACUCCGAAACUGCAUUCGAUACUGCCGUGCUUGGGGACUGGAGAGGAGACUGGAAUUUACGGUGUAGCGGUGAAAUGCGUAGAUAUCGUAAGGAAGACCAGUGGCGAAGGCGGGUCUCUGGACAGUUCCUGACGCUGAGGCACGAAGGCCAGGGGAGCAAACGGG
rnacentral:rRNA from 1 species